ACCUGGUUGAUCCUGCCAGUAGUCAUAUGCUUGUCUCAAAGAUUAAGCCAUGCAUGUCUAAGUACACGCCCUAGCAAGGCGAAACCGCGAAUGGCUCAUUAAAUCAGUUAUGGUUCCUUAGAUCGUACACAUUUACUUGGAUAACUGUGGUAAUUCUAGAGCUAAUUCAUGCAAUUGAGCCCUCGUCCCUUUUAGGGUGAGGGUGCUUUUAUUAGACCAAGACCAAACGGGGGCAACUCCGAUAGUCGUGGUGACUCUGAAUAACUAUGGCGGAUCGCACAGUCCUAGCACUGGCGACGCAUCUUUCAAGUGUCUGCCUUAUCAACUUUCGAUGGUAGGUUAUGCGCCUACCAUGGUUGUUACGGGUAACGGGGAAUCAGGGUUCGAUUCCGGAGAGGGAGCCUGAGAAACGGCUACCACAUCCAAGGAAGGCAGCAGGCGCGCAAAUUACCCACUCCCGGCACGGGGAGGUAGUGACGAAAAAUAACAAUACGGGACUCUAACGAGGCUCCGUAAUUGGAAUGAGUACACUCUAAACCUUUUAACGAGGAUCUAUUGGAGGGCAAGUCUAGUGCCAGCAGCCGCGGUAACUCUAGCUCCAAUAGCGUAUAUUAAAGUUGUUGCGGGUUCUCUCUCUCUCUCUCUCUCUCUCUUCUAUUAAAUAAAUAAAUAUGCUUUACCAAAUUCAGAAACAAAUUUUAAUUAUAUAUCUUUCUAAUGUCAAACAUACACUUUUUAAUAUAUUCAUAACAACAACAAUAAUUACAGUGCUGCCAAAUCUAAACAAUCAAAAUAAAUUAAUUAAACAGAGUAUAUUAUAAUAUUAUUAUAAGGUAUAUUACAACUUCUCGACUUCAAGCGACUUCAUCCCUCCUGGGAUGUCGAUGCAGAUAAGGUUGGAUAUUGGAGAUGUGAGCGUUCUUGGAGUUUUAUCAUCAGACUCAUAUUCAACAUAUUUGGGGUGGCCAUCCAUUUUGGUUACCCUUGUCACUCGAUGCGGACCAGAUAGCUUCCAUUCCUUUCCAACCUUCUGAUGUCUUACCAGAAUAUAAUCUUCGAUACUCAUCUCUGGUGGCAGGGCCAUUUUACGACUGUUAAAAUAAAACUUUGUUCUUUGUCAGUAGAGGUUUUGCUCAAUUUGACUUUUUUUCUGCUUCAUAAAGGGGACAGUGAAGAUUAAGUACUUUUCGGCAGGUAAAACAGGGGAAGUUUUUGUAAGUUUGAAUAAAGGGGAGCAACCCAGGUAGGAGUUGUAGGAUCUAUUAUGGUAGCGUACUGCCGCUUCUAAGGCAUUUUUCAUCCACCCUUGAAGUGAGGAUAGCACGAGAGAAAGGUCUUUAUAUCUCGUAUAGCUCGUUUCGCUAAACCAUUUCCUGCAGGGUGAUAAGGAGAAGUAGUUAUUAAUCGGAUGUCUUUGGAGGUUGCCCACCUAGGGAAUUCUCCAUACAAAAUGAUCUCCCUUGAUCAGAAACUAUAGUUCUCACUGAUUUCAGAUCCUCAUGCUCGUUGAAAUAUUUUAUUAGAGCACGGCCAUGUUGUUUCAUUGCCUUUGCUUGAACCACCCUAGUAGCCUCGUCAAUAAUUAGUAAAAAUGUUGAAUUCUUAUCCUUGAUGUUAGAAGGAACCUCGGCGAAAUCUACAUGUACAGUAUAGAAAGGUACCCUUGAUUGAUGGGGCAAACUCACCUUUGAAGGACUGCUCUUAUACUUGAACUUGACCCUUUGACAGAUAGGACAAGAAGAUACAUAUUUCCUUAUGUCAUUCUUCAUACCAGGCCAAA
rnacentral:rRNA from 1 species